rnacentral:rRNA from 1 species
AUUGAACGCUGGCGGCAUGCCUUACACAUGCAAGUCGAACGGUAACGCGGGGCAACCCUGGCGACGAGUGGCGAACGGGUGAGUAAUACAUCGGAACAUAUCCAGUAGCGGGGGAUAACCUAUCGAAAGAUUGGCUAAUACCGCAUACGAUCUACGGAUGAAAGCGGGGGACCGCAAGGCCUCGCACUAUUGGAGUGGCCGAUGUCAGAUUAGCUAGUUGGUGGGGUAAAAGCCUACCAAGGCGACGAUCUGUAGCUGGUCUGAGAGGACGAUCAGCCACACUGGAACUGAGACACGGUCCAGACUCCUACGGGAGGCAGCAGUGGGGAAUUUUGGACAAUGGGCGCAAGCCUGAUCCAGCCAUGCCGCGUGAGUGAAGAAGGCCUUCGGGUUGUAAAGCUCUUUCGGUGAAGACGAAACGGUUAGUGUUAAUAACACUGACUAAUGACGGUACUCACAGAAGAAGCACCGGCUAACUACGUGCCAGCAGCCGCAGUAA